rnacentral:ncRNA from 1 species
CUGGUUCCGGUUCACGUCGCUGCGCCCGCGCAGCCCUGACGACCCGGCGACC